GAUGAACGCUAGCGGCAGGCCUAACACAUGCAAGUCGAGGGGCAGCACGGUGUAGCAAUACACUGGUGGCGACCGGCGCACGGGUGCGUAACGCGUAUGCAACCUACCCAUAACAGGGGGAUAACACUGAGAAAUUGGUACUAAUACCCCAUAACAUCAGGACCGGCAUCGGUUCUGGUUGAAAACUCCGGUGGUUAUGGAUGGGCAUGCGUUGUAUUAGCUGGUUGGUAAGGUAACGGCUUACCAAGGCGACGAUCAGUAGCCGACCUGAGAGGGUGACCGGCCACAUUGGGACUGAGACACGGCCCAA
rnacentral:rRNA from 1 species